rnacentral:tRNA from 1 species
GCCCAUGUAGCUCAGUAGGUAGAGCACAUCCUUGGUAAGGAUGAGGUCACCGGUUCAAAUCCGGUCGUGGGCU